rnacentral:snoRNA from 1 species
UGCCAGUGAUGUUCCCUAAAUUCUGACACCUCAUAUGAAACUGUCAAAACAGCUUCUUGAUUAUAUUUUUUUGGGCUGAGGCAC